rnacentral:rRNA from 1 species
AAGAGUCAGGUUGUUUGGUAUUGCAGCCUAAAGUUGGAGGUAAAUCUCUCCUAAAGCUAAAUAUUGACGAAAGACCGAUAGCGAACAAGUACCGUGAGGGAAAGAUGAAAAGCACCUUGAAAAGGGGGUCAAAAAGUACGUGAAAUUGCUGAAAGGGAACCGUAUGAAAUCAGCUUGGCCGUUUGGUAAUCAGCCUAGACUUUGGUUUGGGUGCACUUGCCAUUUGGUACAGCCUGCGACAAUUUGAUUCGGGGGAAAAAAUGAGAGAGAAUGUGGCCUUGCCUUCGGGGGAGGUGUUAUAGCUCUUUUAAAAAUACUCUGAAUUGGAUUGAGGAUCGCAGCRAGCCUUUAGGGAUGAACUGUGGGCGCUUGGUGGUUGCUAGGGAGAAAUUUCUAUUUAGGUAGUGUCUUUCUCGUAGCUGCCAACUCGCCUACUUUUUCUUUUUCUUGCUUAGGUCGCAGGCAUAAUGAUUUUAUAUGACC